UAACAAGGUUUCCGUAGGUGAACCUGCGGAAGGAUCAUUACCGAGUGAGGGCCCUCUGGGUCCAACCUCCCACCCGUGUUUAUUUUACCUUGUUGCUUCGGCGGGCCCGCCUUUACUGGCCGCCGGGGGGCUCACGCCCCCGGGCCCGCGCCCGCCGAAGACACCCUCGAACUCUGUCUGAAGAUUGAAGUCUGAGUGAAAAUAUAAAUUAUUUAAAACUUUCAACAACGGAUCUCUUGGUUCCGGCAUCGAUGAAGAACGCAGCGAAAUGCGAUACGUAAUGUGAAUUGCAAAUUCAGUGAAUCAUCGAGUCUUUGAACGCACAUUGCGCCCCCUGGUAUUCCGGGGGGCAUGCCUGUCCGAGCGUCAUUGCUGCCCUCAAGCCCGGCUUGUGUGUUGGGCCCCGUCCUCCGAUUCCGGGGGACGGGCCCGAAAGGCAGCGGCGGCACCGCGUCCGGUCCUCGAGCGUAUGGGGCUUUGUCACCCGCUCUGUAGGCCCGGCCGGCGCUUGCCGAUCAACCCAAAUUUUUAUCCAGGUUGACCUCGGAUCAGGUAGGGAUACCCGCUGAACUUAAGCAUAUCAAUA
rnacentral:rRNA from 1 species